CACCAAGGCGACGACGGUUAGCCGGCCUGAGAGGUUGACCGGCCACACUGGGACUGAGACACGGCCCAGAUCUCUACGGGAGGCAGCAGUGGGGAAUAUUGCACAUUGGGCGAAAGCCUGAUGCAGCGACGCCGCGUGAGGGAUGACGGCUUCGGUUGUAAACCUCUUUCAUUAGGGAAGAAGCGAAAGUGACGGUACCUGCAGAAGAAGCACCGGUUAACUACGUGCCAGCAGCCGCGGUAAUACGUAGGGUGCGAGCGUUAUCCGGAAUUAUUGGGCGUAAAGAGCUCGUAGGCGGUUUGUCGCGUCUGUCGUGAAAGUCCGGGGCUUAACCCCGGAUCUGCGGUGGGUACGGGCAGACUAGAGUGCAGUAGGGGAGACUGGAAUUCCUGGUGUAGCGGUGGAAUGCGCAGAUAUCAGGAGGAACACCGAUGGCGAAGGCAGGUCUCUGGGCUGUAACUGACGCUGAGGAGCGAAAGCAUGGGGAGCGAACAGGAUUAGAUACCCUGGUAGUCCAUGCCGUAAACGUUGGGCACUAGGUGUGGGGACCAUUCCACGGUUUCCGCGCCGCAUAACGCAUUAAGUGCCCCGCCUG
rnacentral:rRNA from 1 species